rnacentral:ncRNA from 1 species
CCCCGCUGUAUUGAACUUCUAACCCGCACCCCUGAACCGGGGUGGGAGACAGUGUCAGGUGGGCAGUUUGACUGGGGCGGUCGCCUCCUAAAGAGUAACGGAGGCGCCCAAAGGUUCCCUCAGAAUGGUUGGAAAUCAUUCGCAGAGUGUAAAGGCACAAGGGAGCUUGACUGCGAGACCUACAAGUCGAGCAGGGACGAAAGUCGGGCUUAGUGAUCCGGUGGUUCCGCAUGGAAGGGCCAUCGCUCAACGGAUAAAAGCUACCCCGGGGAUAACAGGCUUAUCUCCCCCAAGAGUCCACAUCGACGGGGAGGUUUGGCACCUCGAUGUCGGCUCAUCGCAUCCUGGGGCUGUAGUCGGUCCCAAGGGUUGGGCUGUUCGCCCAUUAAAGCGGUACGCGAGCUGGGUUCAGAACGUCGUGAGACAGUUCGGUC